rnacentral:lncRNA from 10 species
AGGGUGAUCCCAGGUUAGAGGCGCCCAGGCUAGAAGGGCCCGGCUCUUGGCCCUCGCUGUCCUGCCCGCUGUCGCCGCUCUUUGGCGCCCCCGCAACAGCUCCCUCUCAGCAGGACGCGGAAAGGGCUUGUAUGUGUCCAGGAAGUCUAGUGAAUUCGACCAUGAAUCCAGACAUGGCCAGUGGCUAAAUCCUGUGGGAAGACACUGUGCUUCUCUCUGACCCAUGAACACUCUGCUAGUCAAGCUCUCUGUCACAAAGACAACUUGAAGAGACAGAGUGGACCUCACAGAAGAUACCAUCGUCACUCUUACCAAUGCAACUGUGGUGAACAGGACCACUAUUAUUCCUUAGAUCAAAAGGACAGCACAUUCAACAGCAUCCUCAUGGCAUGCCAGCAAUUUGCAUAGGAUGUUCACAAUUAAACUUUGAUUAUCUAGUGCUUUGUGGAUGUAUUAUGUAUUACAGAAAUCUAUUUGCAACAUGGA